rnacentral:rRNA from 1 species
CAGCCGCCACGGGAAUACGGAGGGGGCUAGCGUUGUUCGGAAUUACUGGGCGUAAAGCGCACGUAGGCGGCUUUGUAAGUUAGAGGUGAAAGCCCGGAGCUCAACUCCGGAAUUGCCUUUAAGACUACAGAGCUAGCAGGUGAGAGAGGUGAGUGGAAUUCCGAGUGUAGAGGUGAAAUUCGUAGAUAUUCGGAAGAACACCAGUGGCGAAGGCGGCUCACUGGCUCAUACUGGACGCUGAGGUGCGAAAGCGUGUGGAGCAAACAGGAUUAGAUACCCCCGUAGUCCCUGUCUCUUAUAC